rnacentral:rRNA from 1 species
UGAAUACGAGAUGCUACGGCAUUGAAGCAGUCUAUGUCAGACUUCCAAGAAAAGCUCGCAAUGUCAUAAACAAUUAAUGCCUGUACCAUAACCGACACAGGUGAGUAGGUAGAGUAUACUAAGGGGCGCGAGAUAACUCUCUCUAAGGAACUCGGCAAAAUGACUCUGUAACUUCGGGAGAAGGAGUGCCUUAUUUUAUAAGGUUGCAAUAACAAGAUCCAAGCAACUGUUUACCAAAAACACAGGUCUCCGCUAAGUCGUAAGACGAUGUAUGGGGGCUGACGCCUGCCCAGUGCCAGAAGGUUAAAGAAGUUGGUUAACCUAGCGAAGCUGAUGACUGAAGCCCUGGUGAACGGCGGCCGUAACGAUAACGGUCCUAAGGUAGCGAAAUUCCUUGUCGGGUAAGUCCCGACCCGCACGAAAGGCGUAAUGAUUUGGAUACUGUCUCGGAGAGGGGCUCGGUGAAAUAGACUUGUCUGUGAAGAUGCGGACUACCUGCACCUGGACAGAAAGACCCUAUGAAGCUUUACUGUAACUUGAGAUUGAAAUUGGACUUUAUUUGCGCAGUAUAGGUGGGAGACGUUGAGAAUAUUCUUGCGGGAAUAUUGGAGUCAUCAGUGAGAUACCACUCUUGUAAUGUUAGAUUUCUAACUUUGAAUCAUUAUCUGGUCAAAGAACAGUCUCAGGCGGGCAGUUUGACUGGGGCGGUCGCCUCCUAAACGGUAACGGAGGCGCACAAAGGUUUCCUCUGAACGUGUAGAAAUCGUAUCUAGAGUGUAAAGGCAUAAGGAAGCUUGACUGUGAGACCUACAAGUCGAGCAGGGACGAAAGUCGGUCUUAGUGAUCUGACGGUGCUGAGUGGAAAGGCCGUCACUCAACGGAUAAAAGUUACUCUAGGAUAACAGGCUGAUCUCCCCCAAGAGUUCACAUCGACGGGGAGGUUUGGCACCUCGAUGUCGGCUCAUCGCAUCCUGGGGCGGUAGUACGUCCCAAGGGUUGGGCUGUUCGCCCAUGAAAGCGGUACGCGAGCUGGGUUCAGAACGUCGUGAGACGGUUCGGUCCAUAUCCGGUGUAGGCGUUAGAAUAUUGAGAGGAGCCUUCUUUAGUACGAGAGGACCGAGAAGGACAUACCUCUGGUGUACCAGUUAUCGUGCCAACGGUAAACGCUGGGUAGCUAUGUAUGGAGUGGAUAACCGCUGAAAGCAUCUAAGUGGGAAGCCCACCUCAAGAUAAGUAUUCC